CUGAGUUCUGAUAGGCAAAUCCGUCGGAGCAUUAAUCCUGAGACCUGACGCAUAGCCGAUUGAGGCGAAGUAGCGUGAUCCUAUGCUGUCGAGAAAAGCCUCUAGCGAGUUCCAAGCGGCCCGUACCCCAAACCGACACAGGUGGUCAGGUAGAGAAUACCAAGGUGCUCGAGCGAACUAUGGUUAAGGAACUCGGCAAAAUACCCCCGUAACUUCGGGAGAAGGGGGGCCGGGUGCUGUGAAGCCUCUUGCAGGCUAGCGGUGUCCGGCCGCAGAGACCAGGGGGAAGCGACUGUUUACUAAAAACACAGGUGCAUGCUAAGUCGCAAGACGACGUAUAUGCACUGACGCCUGCCCGGUGCUGGAAGGUUAAGAGGACCGGUCAACCCUUCGGUGUGAAGCUGAGAAUUUAAGCCCCAGUAAACGGCGGUGGUAACUAUAACCAUCCUAAGGUAGCGAAAUUCCUUGUCGGGUAAGUUCCGACCUGCACGAAUGGCGUAACGACUUCCCUACUGUCUCAACCAUAGGCUCGGCGAAAUUGCACUACGAGUAAAGAUGCUCGUUACGCGCGGCAGGACGGAAAGACCCCGGGACCUUUACUACAGCUUGGUAUUGGUGUCUGGUUCAAUUUGUGUAGGAUAGGUGGGAGACUUUGAAGCGGUCACGCCAGUGGCUGUGGAGUCGACGUUGAAAUACCACUCUGGUUGUACCGAACAUCUAACUUAGGUCCAUGAUCUGGAUCAGGGACAGUGCCUGGUGGGUAGUUUAACUGGGGCGGUUGCCUCCUAAAGAGUAACGGAGGCGCCCAAAGGUUCCCUCAGCCUGGUUGGUAAUCAGGUUUCGAGUGUAAGUGCACAAGGGAGCUUGACUGCGAGAGGGACAUCUCGAGCAGGGACGAAAGUCGGGACUAGUGAUCCGGCACCACCUUGUGGAAGGGGUGUCGCUCAACGGAUAAAAGGUACCCCGGGGAUAACAGGCUGAUCUUGCCCAAGAGUCCAUAUCGACGGCAUGGUUUGGCACCUCGAUGUCGGCUCGUCGCAUCCUGGGGCUGGAGUAGGUCCCAAGGGUUGGGCUGUUCGCCCAUUAAAGCGGCACGCGAGCUGGGUUUAGAACGUCGUGAGACAGUUCGGUCCCUAUCCGCCGCGCGCGCAGGAGUUUUGAGGAAGGCUGUCCCUAGUACGAGAGGACCGGGACGGACGAACCUCUGGUGUGCCAGUUGUUCCACCAGGAGCACGGCUGGUUGGCUACGUUCGGAAGGGAUAACCGCUGAAAGCAUCUAAGCGGGAAGCCUGUUCCAAGAUGAGAACUCCCACCCCAUAGAGGGUUAAGGCCCCCGGCAAGACCACCGGGUUGAUAGGCCGGAAGUGGAAGCACCGCAAGGUGUGCAGCUGACCGGUACUAAUAGGCCGAGGACUUACCACA
rnacentral:rRNA from 1 species